rnacentral:rRNA from 1 species
AUUGAACGCUGGCGGCAGGCCUAACACAUGCAAGUCGAGCGGAUGAAGGGAGCUUGCUCCUGGAUUCAGCGGCGGACGGGUGAGUAAUGCCUAGGAAUCUGCCUGGUAGUGGGGGAUAACGUCCGGAAACGGGCGCUAAUACCGCAUACGUCCUGAGGGAGAAAGUGGGGGAUCUUCGGACCUCACGCUAUCAGAUGAGCCUAGGUCGGAUUAGCUAGUUGGUGGGGUAAAGGCCUACCAAGGCGACGAUCCGUAACUGGUCUGAGAGGAUGAUCAGUCACACUGGAACUGAGACGCGGUCCAGACUCCUACGGGAGGCAGCAGUGGGGAAUAUUGGACAAUGGGCGAAAGCCUGAUCCAGCCGUGCCGCGUGUGUGAAGAAGGUCUUCGGAUUGUAAAGCACUUUAAGUUGGGAGGAAGGGCAGUAAGUUAAUACCUUGCUGUUUUGACGUUACCAACAGAAUAAGCACCGGCUAACUUCGUG